rnacentral:rRNA from 1 species
GGGUUGUGAGGUUAAGCGACUAAGCGUACACGGUGGAUGCCCUGGCAGUCAGAGGCGAUGAAGGACGUGCUAAUCUGCGAUAAGCGUCGGUAAGGUGAUAUGAACCGUUAUAACCGGCGAUUUCCGAAUGGGGAAACCCAGUGUGAUUCGUCACACUAUCAUUAACUGAAUCCAUAGGUUAAUGAGGCGAACCGGGGGAACUGAAACAUCUAAGUACCCCGAGGAAAAGAAAUCAACCGAGAUUCCCCCAGUAGCGGCGAGCGAACGGGGAGCAGCCCAGAGCCUGAAUCAGUGUGUGUGUUAGUGGAAGCGUCUGGAAAGGCGUGCGAUACAGGGUGACAGCCCCGUACACAAAAAUGCACAUACUGUGAGCUCGAUGAGUAGGGCGGGACACGUGGUAUCCUGUCUGAAUAUGGGGGGACCAUCCUCCAAGGCUAAAUACUCCUGACUGACCGAUAGUGAACCAGUACCGUGAGGGAAAGGCGAAAAGAACCCCGGCGAGGGGAGUGAAAAAGAACCUGAAACCGUGUACGUACAAGCAGUGGGAGCACGCUUAGGCGUGUGACUGCGUACCUUUUGUAUAAUGGGUCAGCGACUUAUAUUCUGUAGCAAGGUUAACCGAAUAGGGGAGCCGAAGGGAAACCGAGUCUUAACUGGGCGUUAAGUUGCAGGGUAUAGACCCGAAACCCGGUGAUCUAGCCAUGGGCAGGUUGAAGGUUGGGUAACACUAACUGGAGGACCGAACCGACUAAUGUUGAAAAAUUAGCGGAUGACUUGUGGCUGGGGGUGAAAGGCCAAUCAAACCGGGAGAUAGCUGGUUCUCCCCGAAAGCUAUUUAGGUAGCGCCUCGUGAAUUCAUCUCCGGGGGUAGAGCACUGUUUCGGCAAGGGGGUCAUCCCGACUUACCAACCCGAUGCAAACUGCGAAUACCGGAGAAUGUUAUUACGGGAGACACACGGCGGGUGCUAACGUCCGUCGUGAAGAGGGAAACAACCCAGACCGCCAGCUAAGGUCCCAAAGUCAUGGUUAAGUGGGAAACGAUGUGGGAAGGCCCAGACAGCCAGGAUGUUGGCUUAGAAGCAGCCAUCAUUUAAAGAAAGCGUAAUAGCUCACUGGUCGAGUCGGCCUGCGCGGAAGAUGUAACGGGGCUAAACCAUGCACCGAAGCUGCGGCAGCGACGCUUAUGCGUUGUUGGGUAGGGGAGCGUUCUGUAAGCCUGUGAAGGUGUGCUGUGAGGUAUGCUGGAGGUAUCAGAAGUGCGAAUGCUGACAUAAGUAA